rnacentral:rRNA from 1 species
UACGUAGGGUGCGAGCGUUGUCCGGAAUUACUGGGCGUAAAGGGCGCGUAGGCGGCCUUCUAAGUCGAACGUGAAAUCCCCGGGCUCAACCCGGGAACUGCGUCCGAUACUGGAAGGCUUGAAUCCGGGAGAGGGAUGCGGAAUUCCAGGUGUAGCGGUGAAAUGCGUAGAUAUCUGGAGGAACACCGGUGGCGAAGGCGGCAGCCUGGACCGGUAUUGACGCUGAGGCGCGAAAGCCAGGGGAGCAAACGGG